AUUUGACAUUUUAUUUGUAGCUGCUCUUAAAGGAAAUGUUCGUAAGGCUUCCAUUAGUGAAAAGGUAGAGAAGUCCCGAGUAUCUCAGGCCUACAUAGAGAGUAUAAAGGAGAACGCAGAGCAGCGUAAAAAGGACCUGGAGAAGAUGCUGGAUGAACAUGCUGAGUUGGUCCAGGAGAUAAGCCGUGUGGCCAGCUCGGAUAACAUAAGUGCAGAGGACCGAGACCAGUGACCAUUAUGACCAGUGUCCACUCUGGUGGACUCUUGCCUGGCCACACCCCUUCAUUGAUCUUCACAGCUGUAGACAGUAGUCAGUGUAGGGACUCUCCCCAAUCCUAGCUGUAACAGUGUGUAACAGUGGCUGACCACCUUAUCAACUGGUCCUGAUUAGGCCUGGUAAUAGAUAGCCAGUGGUCACUGCCUUAGGCCUGUGGCCACCUUCUGGUGAACUAAUGACAUGCUAGAUCAGACGGUGCUACCAGUCUGGAUUCCUCACACUCAGCACCAUCAACAAGUUAUCACUCAUUUACAACUGACAGACCUGUCCUUGUGGAAGGACUCUCAUCCUUUCUGUGGCCAGAUCCAUCAUCUGUAAUACAGCAAAUUAUCAACAUUACUGUGUCAUACAGUUAAAUAUAUUGUAAUAUGUCUCUAUGUAUCAUGACAAGUAAUAUAUUUCCCUCUUUUUGUUUCUAUGACGACUCAUCACACUUGUGAGUGUAAAGUGCGAUGUUUAAGGGUUGUUAUGGUCACCAUAUUUAGCCUAACAUUAGAGGGUGUGAUAGUUUCCUCAUAUGCCAUGGUGUUAAAGCUAACAUUUCCGUGGCAGUAGCUCUAGUAUUGAUCUGUGAUUUAGGAUGUACAUUUUGUAAGACAGAGUUGUCUCCCUUUGUAACUAUUUUUGUUUUGCACAUUGCUACAGACUUUUUAUUACAAUGUGUGAAUACUAGUUCAGUCUGUGUUUUAUAGCUUAGGGUUAACCUUUGAUAUGGAAUCAUUGCAUAAAUUAGUUAAAAUCAUUCUGUAAAUAAAGUUGUUUUUUUGUUUGUAUCUGCAAGCACAAAUGACAAACAUGUUUUGUGUAUAUACUUUACCUAUUAAAUGUAUAUGUGCUCUUACUUUUGUCAUCAGACUGUAGAAGAAUGACUAUUAGACAUCUGAGUAUAGGAAA